AAGGCGCGCGAUACAGGGUGACAGCCCCGUACACAAAAAUGCACAUAUUGUGAGCUCGAUGAGUAGGGCGGGACACGUGGUAUCCUGUCUGAAUAUGGGGGGACCAUCCUCCAAGGCUAAAUACUCCUGACUGACCGAUAGUGAACCAGUACCGUGAGGGAAAGGCGAAAAGAACCCCGGCGAGGGGAGUGAAAAAGAACCUGAAACCGUGUACGUACAAGCAGUGGGAGCACGCUUAGGCGUGUGACUGCGUACCUUUUGUAUAAUGGGUCAGCGACUUAUAUUCUGUAGCAAGGUUAACCGAAUAGGGGAGCCGAAGGGAAACCGAGUCUUAACUGGGCGUUAAGUUGCAGGGUAUAGACCCGAAACCCGGUGAUCUAGCCAUGGGCAGGUUGAAGGUUGGGUAACACUAACUGGAGGACCGAACCGACUAAUGUUGAAAAAUUAGCGGAUGACUUGUGGCUGGGGGUGAAAGGCCAAUCAAACCGGGAGAUAGCUGGUUCUCCCCGAAAGCUAUUUAGGUAGCGCCUCGUGAAUUCAUCUCCGGGGGUAGAGCACUGUUUCGGCAAGGGGGUCAUCCCGACUUACCAACCCGAUGCAAACUGCGAAUACCGGAGAAUGUUAUCACGGGAGACACACGGCGGGUGCUAACGUCCGUCGUGAAGAGGGAAACAACCCAGACCGCCAGCUAAGGUCCCAAAGUCAUGGUUAAGUGGGAAACGAUGUGGGAAGGCCCAGACAGCCAGGAUGUUGGCUUAGAAGCAGCCAUCAUUUAAAGAAAGCGUAAUAGCUCACUGGUCGAGUCGGCCUGCGCGGAAGAUGUAACGGGGCUAAACCAUGCACCGAAGCUGCGGCAGCGACGCUUAUGCGUUGUUGGGUAGGGGAGCGUUCUGUAAGCCUGCGAAGGUGUGCUGUGAGG
rnacentral:rRNA from 1 species